UAAUCUAUGGCUCAGAUGGUAGAGCGUCUGCCUGCAAUGCCGGAGACCUGGGUUCGAUCCCUGGGUCAG
rnacentral:tRNA from 1 species